AUUGAACGCUGGCGGAAUGCUUUACACAUGCGAGUCGAACGGCAGCACGGGGGCAGCCCUGGUGGCGAGUGGCGAACGGGUGAGUAAUACAUCGGAACGUGCCCGGUCGUGGGGGAUAACGUAGCGAAAGUUACGCUAAUACCGCAUACGAUCUGAGGAUGAAAGCGGGGGACCUUCGGGCCUCGCGCGAUCGGAGCGGCCGAUGUCAGAUUAGGUAGUUGGUGGGGUAAAGGCCUACCAAGCCGACGAUCUGUAGCUGGUCUGAGAGGACGACCAGCCACACUGGGACUGAGACACAGCCCAGACUCCUACGGGAGGCAGCAGUGGGGAAUUUUGGACAAUGGGCGCAAGCCUGAUCCAGCCAUUCCGCGUGCAGGACGAAGGCCUUCGGGUUGUAAACUGCUUUUGUACGGAACGAAAAGGCUCUGGCUAAUACCUGGGGCUCAUGACGGUACCGUAAGAAUAAGCACCGGCUAACUACGUG
rnacentral:rRNA from 1 species